UGGGGAAUUUUGCGCAAUGGGCGCAAGCCUGACGCAGCGACGCCGCGUGAGUGAAGAAGGCCUUAGGGUUGUAAAGCUCUUUCACCCGUGAAGAUGAUGACGGUAGCGGGAGAAGAAGCCCCGCCUAACUCCGUGCCAGCAGCCGCGGUAAUACGGAGGGGGCGAGCGUUGUUCGGAAUUACUCGGCGUAAAGGGCGCGUAGGCGGGCUGGCCAGUCAGAGGUGAAAGUCCUGGGCUCAACCUGGGGACUGCCUUUGAAACUGCCAGUCUAGAGUCCGGGAGAGGAUGGCGGAAUUCCCAGUGUAGAGGUGAAAUUCGUAGAUAUUGGGAAGAACACCGGUGGCGAAGGCGGCCAUCUGGACCGGCACUGACGCUGAGGCGCGAAAGCGUGGGGAGCAAACAGGAUUAGAUACCCCCGUAGUCC
rnacentral:rRNA from 1 species